UACACUCCUGCGGGAGGCAGCAGUGGGGAAUUUUGGACAAUGGGCGAAAGCCUGAUCCAGCAAUGCCGCGUGAGUGAAGAAGGCCUUCGGGUUGUAAAGCUCUUUUGUCAGGGAAGAAACGGUGAGAGCUAAUAUCUUUUGCUAAUGACGGUACCUGAAGAAUAAGCACCGGCUAACUACGUGCCAGCAGCCGCGGUAAUACGUAGGGUGCAAGCGUUAAUCGGAAUUACUGGGCGUAAAGCGUGCGCAGGCGGUUUUGUAAGUCUGAUGUGAAAUCCCCGGGCUCAACCUGGGAAUUGCAUUGGAGACUGCAAGGCUAGAAUCUGGCAGAGGGGGGUAGAAUUCCACGUGUAGCAGUGAAAUGCGUAGAUAUGUGGAGGAACACCGAUGGCGAAGGCAGCCCCCUGGGUCAAGAUUGACGCUCAUGCACGAAAGCGUGGGGAGCAAACAGGAUUAGAUACCCGUGUAGUCCCAUGAU
rnacentral:rRNA from 1 species